UACGGAGGGUGCAAGCGUUAUCCGGAUUCACUGGGCUUAAAGGGCGCGUAGGUGGGUCUGUAAGUCCGUGGUGAAAUCUCCGAGCUUAACUUGGAAACUGCCAUGGAUACUAUAGAUCUUGAAUACUGUGGAGGUUAGCGGAAUAUGUCAUGUAGCGGUGAAAUGCUUAGAUAUGACAUAGAACACCAAUUGCGAAGGCAGCUGGCUAGACAAAUAUUGACACUGAUGCACGAAAGCGUGGGGAUCAAACAGG
rnacentral:rRNA from 1 species